rnacentral:rRNA from 1 species
AGAGCGAACGCUGGCGGCAUGCUUAACACAUGCAAGUCGCACGGUUCGGGGGCAACCCCGGGCAGUGGCGGACGGGUGAGGAACGCGUAGGAAUAUGUCCUGGGAUGGGGGAUAACCGUGGGAAACUACGGCUAAUACCGCAUGCGGCCUGAGGGCCAAAGGUCGAAAGGCCGUCUUGGGAGGAGCCUGCGUCCGAUUAGCUUGUUGGUGGGGUAACGGCCUACCAAGGCUGCGAUCGGUAGCUGGUCUGAGAGGAUGAUCAGCCACACUGGGACUGAGACACGGCCCAGACUCCUGCGGGAGGCAGCAGUGGGGAAUAUUGGACAAUGGGCGCAAGCCUGAUCCAGCAAUGCCGCGUGGAUGAAGAAGGUUUUCGGAUUGUAAAGUCCUUUCGGCGGGGACGAUGAUGACGGUACCCGCAGAAGAGCCCGGCUAACUUCGUGCCAGCAGCCGC